GCCCCGUUAAGCUCAGUGGUAGAGCACUGGUCUCGUAAACCAGGGGUCGGGAGUUCGAACCUCCCACAGGGCU
rnacentral:tRNA from 1 species